GGAUGUGAGGUCCAUCUGGUGGAGACCUAUGCCACUCCACAGACUUGAUCUGGCUGUCUGGGCAGGUGCCCCCUCUCGCCCUCACCUCGCCAUAUGAUCUGUCAAGAGGUUGGCUGUCCUCGACAGAGGAGCACUAGUCUUUCUCAAGGGCAGAUGAGAAGCUGUACUUCUCUUGCUGGAAUCUCCAAAUUAGCCUCCAAGGUUAAUCUGUAGCAGGAUGGAGGGAAGUCAGGCUUGAAAGACUCCAGACACACCAGGUGAGGAGCUGCAUGUGACUGCUUUUCUUAUU
ensembl:misc_RNA Gm25782 predicted gene, 25782